UACGUGAAACCGUUCAGGGGUAAACCUGAGAAACCCGAAAGGUCGAAAGGGGAGAUUCAACGCGUCUCGGAGUUCGCGAGCGGCGUGCGUAUGACGGGCGGCCGUUUUAGGACGAUACCAGCCCGCUCCGCGCGUCGACCGAUCGGGCACCGAACGCGUGCACUUCUCCUCCUGUAGGACGUCGUGACCCGUUGGGCGCCGGCCUAAGGACCGCGGUGGAGCCCGGACGCCUUUGGCGCGUCCGGACCCGCGGCUUCCCGGCCGGUACGACCGACGGUACAACUACGGCGAGGGGCCGCGACAAGUUCGCGUCCGGCGCGUCGCAAGCGCGAACGGUAAACGGGGGCAGUCCGGGCCUGGUACCGGAUCCCGAACCGUUCGGCUGUUAGCGGCGCGGUCCUCGGACAGAGCCCGUCUCACGCCAGUCUACGGCGCUAUAGCUUUGGGUACUUUCAGGACCCGUCUUGAAACACGGACCAAGGAGUCUAGCAUGUGCGCGAGUCAUUGGGACUCAAUUAAACCUAAAGGCGCAAUGAAAGUGAAGGUCCGCCUCGCGCGGACCGAGGGAGGAUGGGCCCGUUCACGGGCGGGCCCCGCACUCCCGGGGCGUCUCGUUCUCAUCGCGAGAAGAGGCGCACCCAGAGCGUACACGCUGGGACCCGAAAGAUGGUGAACUAUGCCUGGUCAGGACG
rnacentral:rRNA from 1 species